UACGAAGGGGGCUAGCGUUGCUCGGAAUCACUGGGCGUAAAGCGCACGUAGGCGGGUCUUUAAGUCAGGGGUGAAAUCCUGGAGCUCAACUCCAGAACUGCCUUUGAUACUGAAGAUCUCGAGUCCGGGAGAGGUGAGUGGAACUGCGAGUGUAGAGGUGAAAUUCGUAGAUAUUCGCAAGAACACCAGUGGCGAAGGCGGCUCACUGGCCCGGUACUGACGCUGAGGUGCGAAAGCGUGGGGAGCAAACAGG
rnacentral:rRNA from 1 species